AAAAAGUGUUGUUUUCACUCUUCAUAUCCGUACAGUGAAAUCUCCUUGGAAACAAAUGCAGCAGUUUAAUUGAAGAAGGUUCAUUAUAACUGAAGUAAGUUGUUAAUGUUGUGGAUGAUGUUGGGAGACCAGCUUGCUUCCUUUGGCUUCACUGCCUGCUAUGAACACGUUUGUGCCUUCGAUCAGAUCAACAACUGCUAUGUGAAUUAGAGGAGUAUAACCAAUGUCAGAGCAAAUAGGAGUGGCUUAAGUUCCUGAACUCCCUAUGGCAAAACAGGAAUUUGAAGAGGAAUUUUUUCAGAGAAGUCCUGGAGCCUGUGCUGCUGAGAAUGGAUGAUCUCCAUUUCCUUCUCUUGUCAUCUACCAUUUUGUGAACAAUGCAGUUUAACUCUCAGAGCUCACAAAAAGGGAAUUACAGUACUUGCACACUCCUUUUGGGGAUGGAGUCCUAAAAGAAACAGAAGAUGGUCAAGAAGUUAUCACUACUGUGCUCCAUAGCUCUUGCUAAUUAUGAAAGAUAUGUGUUACGCUGCUUGCAGCAGUGUGGUUAGCCCGCACACUUAAAACAUUUUCAAAGAGCUCAAGUCUCAUUUUCCAAAGUGACUUUCAUUACAUGCAUUGGCUGAUUAAUCUCACUAUUCCUCAUGAGAUACGGACUUCUAAAUUAGUGAUAGCUGUGUAGUUGAAUAGAGUGAGAAGUGAUUGUUUAUUUGGGGACAGGAGGGAUGGAGAGAAUACAGAAGUAAGAAUCCUACUCUGGAAAGGAGUGGUGAAUUUGGAGAGGGAAAAUAUCAGGAACUUCACGUCAUACAUAUACUCAAGGCAAUGCGAUAUGUGACAGAGUGUUGUAAAGAUCACUGUAAAAGUGCAAGGCAGAUGUGGAGACAUGGAGCUGUGGUGGUGAGAACAAAUAAUACAAAGUAUAUAAUUUGAGAUUAGAAAAAUUUGGAGGGGAAAAAUAAUCAGUUAAAAUUUCAGAAAGGCAGCACUGAAAAUGCUACUUUGUGUGAUGAUUUAAAAACUGGAGUUGCAUCAAUAUUGGAAAUAAGAAUAAAUGCAAAUAAAUACAAAUUCUUGUUUAGAAU
ensembl:lncRNA